AGGCAGCAGCAAGGAAUUUUCCCCAAUGGGCGCAAGCUGAGGGAGCAACGCCGCGUGGAGGACGACGGCCUUCGGGUUGUAAACUCCUUUCGGGUGGGACGACAGCGACGGUACCACCAGAAGCAGCCCCGGCUAACUCUGUGCCAGCAGCCGCGGUAAGACAGAGGGGGCAAGCGUUGUCCGGAGUUACUGGGCGUAAAGGGCGCGGAGGCGGCCUGCGGCGUCGGCGCUGAAAGCGCCGCUUAACGGGGCGAGGCGUGCCGAUACGCGCAGGCUCGAGGCGAGCAGAGGGUGGUGGAAUUCCGGGUGGAGCGGUGAAAUGCGUAGAGAUCCGGAGGAACGCCAGUGGGAAGCCGGCCACCUGGGCUCGGCCUGACGCUGCGGCGCGACAGCGUGGGGAGCAAACCGGAUUAGAUACCCGGGUAGUCCACGCCGUAAACGAUGCCAGCUCGGCGUGUGGCGCACGGUCGUGCGCUGCGUGCCUUAGCUCACGCGAUAAGCUGGCCGCCUGGGGACUACGAGCGCAAGCUUAAAACUCAAAGGAAUUGACGGGGCCCGCACAAGCAGCGGAGCGUGUGGUUUAAUUCGACGCAACACGAAGAACCUUACCUGGGCUUGACAUGACGCUGCACGCCGUCGAAAGACGGCCGCCUGCGAGGGUGCGUCACCGGUGCUGCAUGGCUGUCGUCAGCUCGUGUCGUGAGAUGUUGGGUUCAGUCCCGCAACGAGCGCAACCCGCGUCGGUAGUUACCCGUGUCUACCGAGACUGCCGUGACCGGCGGAGGAAGGCGCGGAUGACGUCAAGUCAGCAUGGCCCUUACGUCCAGGGCGACACACACGCUACAAUGGCCACGACAAUGCGUUGCCAAGCGCAAGGCGGAGCUAAUCGCUUAAACGUGGUCUCAGUGCAGAUCGGGGGCUGCAACUCGCCCCCGUGAAGGCGGAGUUGCUAGUAACC
rnacentral:rRNA from 1 species